CCUGGCGACACUGGCGGGCGGGUACCACCCGAUCCCAUCCCGAACUCGGAAGUGAAACUGCUCAGCGCCGAUGAUAGUUUGGGGUUUCCCCAUGCGAAAGUAGGUCAUCGCCAGGC
rnacentral:rRNA from 1 species